rnacentral:rRNA from 1 species
UGAACCUACGGGAGGCAGCAGUGAGGAAUAUUGGUCAAUGGGCGGAAGCCUGAACCAGCCAAGUCGCGUGAGGGAAGAAGGCCCUGCGGGUCGCAGACCUCUUUGGACGGGGAGCAAGGCCGCCGACGUGUCGGCGGAAGGAGAGUACCCGUAGAACAAGCAUCGGCUAACUCCGUGCCAGCAGCCGCGGUAAUACGUAGGGGGCUAGCGUUAUCCGGAAUUACUGGGCGUAAAGGGUGCGUAGGUGGUUUCUUAAGUCAGAGGUGA